rnacentral:misc_RNA from 1 species
GAUGAAGAACGUAGCGAAAUGCGAUACUUGGUGUGAAUUGCAGAAUCCCGUGAACCAUCGAGUCUUGAACGCAAGUUGCGCCCGAAGCCAUUAGGCCGAGGGCACGCCUGCCUGGGCGUCACACGUCGUUGCCCCCCCAUCUACUCCUUCGGGAUUGCGGGGGGCGGAUGAUGGCCUCCCGUGCGCCUCGUCGCGCGGUUGGCCUAAAUGCCAAGUCCUCGGCGACGCACGCCACGACAAUCGGUGGUUGCGAAACCUCGGUUGCCUGUCGUGUGCGGUCGUCGCGCAUCGAGGGCUCGAAAAAAUUGCCGGGCUUCGGCUCGACUUUCAACGCGACCCCAGGUCAGGCGGGGUUACCCGCUGAAUUUAAGCAUAUCAAUAAGCGGAGGA